CCGCGACUUCGUCCGCUCGUUCUUUAAGAUACCGUGGGAACUCUGAUUUUCUGUACAAAAAUAGCCUACGUCUAUCCUCGAGAU